rnacentral:lncRNA from 1 species
UUAAAGAGUCUUUGUUUAGGGGGAGAUUUUCUCUCUCAUUAGUUUUUAUGUUUUUAAUAUUAGAUUUUAUAUGUAGGCCAAUUGGCCAAAUAAUAUAAUAAUAUUAAGCUUUUAAGAAUUGUUUAUGUGUCUUCUGAAUUGUCACCACAAUGGUUUGCAACUAAUAGCUUCCGCAUGACGCCCUCUCAAUUUUGAACCCAACAAGUGGUAUCAGAGCUUACGGUUCAAUGGUCCAAUGGUGUGGUGAGAUGAGAUUAAACAGGUUCAAAG